rnacentral:rRNA from 1 species
GAUGAACGCUGGCGGCGUGCCUAAUACAUGCAAGUCGAGCGAACAGACGAGGAGCUUGCUCCUCUGACGUUAGCGGCGGACGGGUGAGUAAAACGUGGAUAACCUACCUAUAAGACUGGGAUAACUUCGGGAAACCGGAGCUAAUACCGGAUAAUAUAUUGAACCGCAUGGUUCAAUAGUGAAAGACGGUUUUGCUGUCACUUAUAGAUGGAUCCGCGCCGCAUUAGCUAGUUGGUAAGGUAACGGCUUACCAAGGCAACGAUGCGUAGCCGACCUGAGAGGGUGAUCGGCCACACUGGAACUGAGACACGGUCCAGACUCCUACGGGAGGCAGCAGUAGGGAAUCUUCCGCAAUGGGCGAAAGCCUGACGGAGCAACGCCGCGUGAGUGAUGAAGGUCUUCGGAUCGUAAAACUCUGUUAGUAGGGAAGAACAAAUGUGUAAGUAACUAUGCACGUCUUGACGGUACCUAAUCAGAAAGCCACGGCUAACUACGUG